rnacentral:rRNA from 1 species
UACAGAGGGGGCAAGCGUUAUUCGGAAUUACUGGGCGUAAAGGGCGCGUAGGCGGCCCGCUAAGUCGAACGUGAAAUCCCCGAGCUCAACUCGGGAACUGCGUCCGAUACUGGCGGGCUUGAAUCCGGGAGAGGGAUGCGGAAUUCCAGGUGUAGCGGUGAAAUGCGUAGAUAUCUGGAGGAACACCGGUGGCGAAGGCGGCAUCCUGGACCGGUAUUGACGCUGAGGCGCGAAAGCUAGGGGAGCAAACGGG